UACGAAGGAUCCAAGCGUUAUCCGGAAUGAUUGGGCGUAAAGCGUCCGCAGGUGGCUAUGUAAGUCUGCUGUUAAAGAGUGAGGCUCAACCUCAUAAGAGCAGUGGAAACUACAUGGCUAGAGUGCGUUCGGGGCAGAGGGAAUUCCUGGUGUAGCGGUGAAAUGCGUAGAGAUCAGGAAGAACACCGGUGGCGAAAGCGCUCUGCUAGGCCGCAACUGACACUCAUGGACGAAAGCUAGGGGAGCGAAUGGG
rnacentral:rRNA from 1 species